UUAGUUGGUACUUGUAUAGUUUUUUUAGUUUUUAUGCUUGCACUUAGAAACACACAUGGUUUUUGAAAUGAGGAUCUCGAAAUAUUGUCGGUUUACUUUUUCAGAAGUAGUGGCCUUAUCUUUCUGUAUCUCUCAGUGCAAAGUUAAUAUGUGGUUGUUAAGGAACGAGAUAAACGAGGAAGAAGGAAGAGUGAAUACGUAGAAAACACUUCCUUUUCUCAGGUUCUUCUAUUCCUUUUCUUUAAAUUUUUGGAAUUUUGCUCUGGUCAUAUUGUAUAUGUUAUUGAUCUUUCCUUUAUCAUUAUUCAUUUUGAUUUUAGAGAUCGUCCUCGGUAGUUUUAAGGUGAUUUAAGAAAAAUUGGUUGUCCGGGAAUCAAUUUUUCUAAUAUUACCUUAACUCUACCUUGAUAGGCGACAUGUGCAUCGUCUAGUUUGACUUUAGUUGUGUACUUGUAUAGUUUUUUUAGUUUUUCUGCUUGCACUUAGAGACACACAUGGUUGUUGAAAUGAGGAUCUCGAAAUAUUGUCGGUUUACUUUUUCAGAAGUAGUGGCCUUAUCUUUCUGCAUAUCUCAGUGCAAAUUUAAUGUGUGGUUGUUAAGGAACGAGAUAAACGAGGAAGAAGGGAGAGUGAAUAGGUAGAAAAUACUUCCUUUUCUCAGGUUCUUCUAUUCCUCUUCUUUAAAGUUUUGGAAUUUUGCUCGUGUGAUAUUGUAUAUGUUAUUGAUCUUUCCUUUAUCAUUAUUCAUUUUGAUUUUAAAGAUCGUCCUCGGUAGUUUUAAGGUGAUUUAAGAAAAAUUGGUUGUCCGGGAAUCAAUUUUUCUAAUAUUACCUUAACUCUACCUUGAUAGGCGACAUGUGCAUCGUCUAGUUUGACUUUAGUUGUGUACUUUAUAUAGUGUUUUUAGUUUUUCUGCUUGCACUUAGAUGUACACAUGGUUGUUGAAAUUAGGAUCUCGAAAGAUUGUUUUUUUUUUUUUUCAUAAGAAGUGACCUUAUAUUUCUGUAUCUCUUUGGGCAAAUUAUCAAGGACAUAAAUGAGGAAGAAGGUAGAGAGAAAAGGUAGA